rnacentral:rRNA from 1 species
AACGAACGCUGGCGGCAUGCCUAACACAUGCAAGUCGAACGAGACCUUCGGGUCUAGUGGCGCACGGGUGCGUAACGCGUGGGAACCUGCCUUUAGGUUCGGAAUAACUCAGAGAAAUUUGAGCUAAUACCGGAUGAUGUCUUCGGACCAAAGAUUUAUCGCCUUUAGAUGGGCCCGCGUUGGAUUAGCUAGUUGGUGGGGUAAAGGCCUACCAAGGCGACGAUCCAUAGCUGGUCUGAGAGGAUGAUCAGCCACACUGGGACUGAGACACGGCCCAGACUCCUACGGGAGGCAGCAGUGGGGAAUAUUGGACAAUGGGCGAAAGCCUGAUCCAGGAAUGCCGCGUGAGUGAUGAAGGCCUUAGGGUUGUAAAGCUCUUUUACCCGAGAUGAUAAUGACAGUAUCGGGAGAAUAAGCUCCGGCUAACUCCGUG